rnacentral:rRNA from 2 species
CUCAGGAUGAACGCCGGCGGUGUGCCUAAUACAUGCAAGUCGUACGCACUGGCCCAACUGAUUGAUGGUGCUUGCACCUGAUUGACGAUGGAUCACCAGUGAGUGGCGGACGGGUGAGUAACACGUAGGUAACCUGCCCCGGAGCGGGGGAUAACAUUUGGAAACAGAUGCUAAUACCGCAUAACAACAAAAGCCACAUGGCUUUUGUUUGAAAGAUGGCUUUAGCUAUCACUCUGGGAUGGACCUGCGGUGCAUUAGCUAGUUGGUAAGGUAACGGCUUACCAAGGCGAUGAUGCAUAGCCGAGUUGAGAGACUGAUCGGCCACAAUGGAACUGAGACACGGUCCAUACUCCUACGGGAGGCAGCAGUAGGGAAUCUUCCACAAUGGGCGCAAGCCUGAUGGAGCAACACCGCGUGAGUGAAGAAGGGUUUCGGCUCGUAAAGCUCUGUUGUUGGAGAAGAACGUGCGUGAGAGUAACUGUUCACGCAGUGACGGUAUCCAACCAGAAAGUCACGGCUAACUACGUGCCAGCAGCCGCGGUAAUACGUAGGUGGCAAGCGUUAUCCGGAUUUAUUGGGCGUAAAGCGAGCGCAGGCGGUUGCUUAGGUCUGAUGUGAAAGCCUUCGGCUUAACCGAAGAAGUGCAUCGGAAACCGGGCAACUUGAGUGCAGAAGAGGACAGUGGAACUCCAUGUGUAGCGGUGGAAUGCGUAGAUAUAUGGAAGAACACCAGUGGCGAAGGCGGCUGUCUGGUCUGCAACUGACGCUGAGGCUCGAAAGCAUGGGUAGCGAACAGGAUUAGAUACCCUGGUAGUCCAUGCCGUAAACGAUGAGUGCUAGGUGUUGGAGGGUUUCCGCCCUUCAGUGCCGGAGCUAACGCAUUAAGCACUCCGCCUGGGGAGUACGACCGCAAGGUUGAAACUCAAAGGAAUUGACGGGGGCCCGCACAAGCGGUGGAGCAUGUGGUUUAAUUCGAAGCUACGCGAAGAACCUUACCAGGUCUUGACAUCUUGCGCUAACCUUAGAGAUAAGGCGUUCCCUUCGGGGACGCAAUGACAGGUGGUGCAUGGUCGUCGUCAGCUCGUGUCGUGAGAUGUUGGGUUAAGUCCCGCAACGAGCGCAACCCUUGUUACUAGUUGCCAGCAUUAAGUUGGGCACUCUAGUGAGACUGCCGGUGACAAACCGGAGGAAGGUGGGGACGACGUCAGAUCAUCAUGCCCCUUAUGACCUGGGCUACACACGUGCUACAAUGGACGGUACAACGAGUCGCAAGCUCGCGAGAGUAAGCUAAUCUCUUAAAGCCGUUCUCAGUUCGGACUGUAGGCUGCAACUCGCCUACACGAAGUCGGAAUCGCUAGUAAUCGCGGAUCAGCAUGCCGCGGUGAAUACGUUCCCGGGCCUUGUACACACCGCCCGUCACACCAUGGGAGUUUGUAACGCCCAAAGUCGGUGGCCUAACCUUUAUGGAGGGAGCCGCCUAA